rnacentral:ncRNA from 2 species
ACCCAGGUGAGUGCUUGGCACCUGGUAAGCACUCAGUAAGUAUUUGAUGAGUGCCUACUGUGUGCCAAGACAUUGUGCUGAGG